AAUUUCAAUAGUAAUAAUAAUAUGGACAUGAGGUUAAUUUUAUAUUAAAGGAUAACUAAUAAAGUUUUUUUAUACACCAUUUACAGGUGCUCAAUAUGGCCCCCUUGAGAUGCACGGCAUAUGUCUAUGCGAUACUCAAAUUCGUCCCACACCUUAGCUUAUACCAUCUUCUUAUGCUCUGGGCUGUAGGAGGAUCAGCACCAUAUGUGGUACGAAAUUCACAUUGCACGGAAAUCACAGACUCACAUUCAGCAAACCGUAUAACACAAAACGCUUUCUGUUGUUUAGACGCCAUUUUGACAAUAACUGAGCUGGGCGUUGACAGAAGCGCGCUACUGCUACCUAGCGGAAACCACGCGAAACUCGAGAGCUUCCUCUUACUAACAGUACAUUGUUCUAUCAAAUCGGACUUAUAGAUGAAUAGCAAUAAAUUUUUAAAAUCGGAUGAUUCUUUUUGAAACGCCCUGUAUAUGGGGAUCAAAUUUUGAAUACUUAUUCUAAUCGCUAACUGAACGAUCCUUUCAUCUAGAUUCUAGAGAGUAUUUUUUGACGCUGGUCACGAAUAUUUUCGUAUUAACUAGGAAGUGUAAUAGUUGGUCGAAAAACACUGAUGUAAUUAUCCUUCUUAUGUUUCAUGAAAAUGAAGAUCCAGGAAACGACGCGCAAAACCACUAAAUGAACACGAAGCCACCACAUCUUGUGGUUGCAAGCUCACUACAGAAUAAAAAUACCGAAUGUUUAAACGAAUCGAACAAUGGAUACUUGCGCCUGGUUUACUUAUGGUACAGUUGCGCCUUCAAAUUUUUUUUGUAAUAGUGAUGUCACUAUUGUUAAUGAAGGUGAGACGAUAGUCGCUUAAAAUGGGUUGAGGUAUUUUCGAGCGCGUACAAAAAAUACCUAAUUUAUGCAUGCAUAUGGUAAGUAUUAUGUAAGUACAUAGCUAAAGAUGUACCGAGUGUCCUAUUUUGCUUGAGACUCGGCUGUUUUAAAAGAUAGAGACUUGUGAUUUUCGCGACUUUGUGCUAUUUUUUUUGUGGAACUUUUAAUACCACAGGCAGAACCAAUCUAGCUACGUUUGUUUCUGAGAUACAAGGUGAAAACGAAAAACUUUUUGGGAUGUUACCAUAUCUUACUACCCACGUAGAAAUUUUCCGUAGAAGCCAGUGGCGUAGUAAAAAAGAUUUUGGCACCGUUUUUGACAUUUGACCCAAAGUUAGUAUUUUUUAAAUACAACCUCCUAUAUGUCGCAAUGCCAAUUUUUUGUAUUCUUUUUCCUGAGUACGUACCAUAACCUAUAUCUAUUUUAUAUGGUGUUCAUUUUGUUUUAUCCGCUAUUGAUAUCUCGAGAACUAUAAGAGCUCCGAGGUCGGUUAAAUUAACAACCAAUUUCUAUUUUACAAGACUAUGGAAUAGGACAGUUAUUAGAAAUCCACUGAUUCGGGAACAUAUCAUUUAAAUUUGCGUAUUAUGGUCAGGUGCAUCGUCUUGUAGAUAAUAUAAAUGUGUUUGGUACAUUAAGGAUGCAUCAUGUAGCAUAUGUGAUAAAGCGUCUCUUAAAAAUUGCAAAUACCUCACCUGUGAGAGUACCUUCAUACAUAUGAAUAAAUAUUUUAUCUUUCAAAAUAGCACACCAAACGUUAACACUACAUUUUUUUUAAUCCACCUACGCACAAUUAUGGGU